UAGAAAUACUAGUAAUAGUAGGGGCGGAUGUAGCCAAGUGGAUCAAGGCAGUGGAUUUGUGAAUCCACCAUGCGCGA
rnacentral:tRNA from 2 species